rnacentral:tRNA from 1 species
GCCAAUGUGGCUUAGUGGUUUGAGCUUCAGACUACAACUCUGGAGACCAGGAUUUGAUUCCCUGCUCAGCA